rnacentral:rRNA from 1 species
AUGAAGCCUUGUACAGGAAACAAGAAGAUGGAAGACCAAUGUGGACGUGUGCCUAGAGCCACUCGGAUUCGUCAAGAUCGCCAAGACCUUCUCCUCCUGGACACAAGUACCACACCGGAAAGAUCGACUACAUGGACGCAAGUACCAUGCCACCCAUGUCCCGCCAAGUUCAUCUACGGAAUGUGUACCACUACGCCCGAGCGACUAAAAACCGGAACGCCAAGAACCACUCCAAACCAUGUACGACUACUAUCGCCGAAGACCCGUGUAACGCAAACGUCAAGUUCGACUACCGUUGACAUGCACUUCGCCGAGUACCAUGCUGUCUUUGGAAGACCCGUGAACAUCAAGUUCUUUGCCACGAAUGGUUACAGUGUUUUGGAUCCAACAAGUACCCUCUCCGGAUCGCCAAGUUCGACUACCGAUGACAUAUACCACAACCGUCGCGGGAACGUCUACUUCCAUCUACACUGCUUUGAACUCGAUCCACCCCGGAGAGACACUCUUCGAAGUUGCAGGUGUCGAUGA